CAAAUUCAGAAAAUUAAAAAAACGACUGAAACUUAGGAAAAUAUUGUUCCAUUUCUUUAUUUGCUUCAAAUUCAGAAAUUUUUCCAUUACUGAAACAAGUUCUGAUUUGCUUUGAGGAUGAAAAUGGAUUGAACUCGGAUAUCAAAAAGAUGGUUUUAAGUUUGUUGGUGGGAUUACUGUACUGUCUAUUUUUUGAGGGGAUUUUACUGUUGCACUAGUAUAAUCAAGUUGGUGUUUGUUUGGUCUCCUCCUUUCUAGGUGCUGAUUAUUGGGUUGUUGUUGCAUAUUGCUUCCUCACUUCUUUCUUCCCUUUUCAAUUUCAAAGUACUCCCCGACCCUAUGAAUAGAUGAGAUGCAAGUACGGAAGUUGUAAUUUCUUGAAGAUUUUAUAAAUGAAUAUUGUUCUCUUAACCAUAAAUGUUAGCUUAUUUCUUUAGAACUUUUGAAAACAGUAUUGUUAUGUAACAAUAACUAGCUUACAUGUUCAUUUUUUGAAAUAGUAGUAGUGUAAUAUUUUCUAGAAAUUUCAUGCUAUAUUAUGCCUUAACGGGAAACAUGAGGUCUAUUAGUCUGCUGAGGUAUAAGUAAUUUAGAACAUUUGAGACCUUUCGUGUAUGUAAACUGUUGGUUAUGCUAUACAUCUUCCUUUUGAAAAAAUACUUAGCUGGUCUUACCUGUAAUAGUGACAUAAGUAACUGAUUAUGUAUGAUGUUUGAAGUUUAAAAAUUCAGUAACCGUUUGGCAUGAAUUGUUUAGAGUUUGAAAGAAUCAGCAUGUUUAAAUUAGUAUAUAAAUGCUAGUGAAGAGUACAUGUGAGUUCUAUGCUGGGUUUUUUCU
rnacentral:lncRNA from 1 species